AGAGUUUGAUCCUGGCUCAGGAUGAACGCUGGCGGCGUGCCUAAUACAUGCAAGUCGAGCGAACGGACGAGAAGCUUGCUUCUCUGAUGUUAGCGGCGGACGGGUGAGUAACACGUGGAUAACCUACCUAUAAGACUGGGAUAACUUCGGGAAACCGGAGCUAAUACCGGAUAAUAUUUUGAACCGCAUGGUUCAAAAGUAAAAGACGGUCUUGCUGUCACUUAUAGAUGGAUCCGCGCUGCAUUAGCUAAUUGGUAAGGUAACGGCUUACCAAGGCAACGAUGCAUAGCCGACCUGAGAGGGUGAUCGGCCACACUGGAACUGAGACACGGUCCAGACUCCUACGGGAGGCAGCAGUAGGGAAUCUUCCGCAAUGGGCGAAAGCCUGACGGAGCAACGCCGCGUGAGUGAUGAAGGUCUUCGGAUCGUAAAACUCUGUUAUUAGGGAAGAACAUAUGUGUAAGUAACUGUGCACAUCUUGACGGUACCUAAUCAGAAAGCCACGGCUAACUACGUGCCAGCAGCCGCGGUAAUACGUAGGUGGCAAGCGUUAUCCGGAAUUAUUGGGCGUAAAGCGCGCGUAGGCGGUUUUUUAAGUCUGAUGUGAAAGCCCACGGCUCAACCGUGGAGGGUCAUUGGAAACUGGAAAACUUGAGUGCAGAAGAGGAAAGUGGAAUUCCAUGUGUAGCGGUGAAAUGCGCAGAGAUAUGGAGGAACACCAGUGGCGAAGGCGACUUUCUGGUCUGUAACUGACGCUGAUGUGCGAAAGCGUGGGGAUCAAACAGGAUUAGAUACCCUGGUAGUCCACGCCGUAAACGAUGAGUGCUAAGUGUUAGGGGGUUUCCGCCCCUUAGUGCUGCAGCUAACGCAUUAAGCACUCCGCCUGGGGAGUACGACCGCAAGGUUGAAACUCAAAGGAAUUGACGGGGACCCGCACAAGCGGUGGAGCAUGUGGUUUAAUUCGAAGCAACGCGAAGAACCUUACCAAAUCUUGACAUCCUUUGACAACUCUAGAGAUAGAGCCUUCCCCUUCGGGGGACAAAGUGACAGGUGGUGCAUGGUUGUCGUCAGCUCGUGUCGUGAGAUGUUGGGUUAAGUCCCGCAACGAGCGCAACCCUUAAGCUUAGUUGCCAUCAUUAAGUUGGGCACUCUAAGUUGACUGCCGGUGACAAACCGGAGGAAGGUGGGGAUGACGUCAAAUCAUCAUGCCCCUUAUGAUUUGGGCUACACACGUGCUACAAUGGACAAUACAAAGGGCAGCGAAACCGCGAGGUCAAGCAAAUCCCAUAAAGUUGUUCUCAGUUCGGAUUGUAGUCUGCAACUCGACUACAUGAAGCUGGAAUCGCUAGUAAUCGUAGAUCAGCAUGCUACGGUGAAUACGUUCCCGGGUCUUGUACACACCGCCCGUCACACCACGAGAGUUUGUAACACCCGAAGCCGGUGGAGUAACCUUUUAGGAGCUAGCCGUCGAAGGUGGGACAAAUGAUUGGGGUGAAGUCGUAACAAGGUAGCCGUAUCGGAAGGUGCGGCUGGAUCACCU
rnacentral:rRNA from 8 species